AUGAUGGAAGACGACGGGCAGCCCCGGACUCUAUACAUAGGUAACCUCUCCCGAGAUGUGACAGAAGUCCUUAUACUUCAGUUAUUCAGUCAGAUUGGACCCUGUAAAAGCUGUAAAAUGAUAACAGAGCAUCAAUGACCCAUAUUGCUUUGUGGAAUUUUAUGAACACAGAGAUGCAGCUGCUGCAUUAGCUGCUAUGAAUGGGAGAAAAAUUUGGGGAAAGGAGGUCAAAGGAAACUGGGCAACAACACCAAGUAGCCAGAAAAAAGAUACUUCCAAUCACUUCCAUGUGUUUGUUGGGGAUUUGAGUCCAGAAAUUACAACAGAAGAUAUCAAAUCAGCAUUUGCCCCCUUUGGUAAAAUAUCGGAUGCCCAAGUAGUUAAAGACAUGGCAACUGGAAAAUCCAAAGGCUAUGGUUUUGUAUCUUUUUAUAACAAAUUGGAUGCAGAAAAUGCAAUUGUGCAUAUGGGAGGUCAGUGGUUGGGUGGUCAUCAGAUCAGAACCAACUGGGCCACAAGUAAACCACCUGCACCUAAAAGUACACAAGAAAAUAACACUAAACAGUUGAGAUUUGAAGAUGUAGUAAACCAGUCAAGUCCAAAAAAUUGUACUGUGUACUGUGGAGGAAUUGCCUCUGGGUUAACAGAUCAGCUUAUGAGACAGACUUUCUCACCAUUUGGACAAAUUAUGGAAAUAAGAGUUUUUCCAAAGAAAGGCUAUUCAUUUGUCAGAUUUUCAACCCAUGAAAGUGCUGCCCAUGCCAUUGUUUCGGUGAAUGGCACUACAAUUGAAGGACAUGUUGUUAAAUGCUAUUGGGGUAAAGAAUCUCCUGGUAUGACUAAAAACUUCCAACAGGUCGACUAUAGUCAGUGGGGGCAGUGGAGCCAGGUUUAUGGAAACCCACAACAGUUUGGACUGUAUAUGGCAAAUGGGUGGCAAUGUACCACCAUAUGGAGUAUACGGGCAACCAUGGAACCAACAAGGAUUUGGAGUAGAUCUGCUGCUUGGAUGGGUGGAUUUGGUGUUCAGCCUCCCCAAGGACAAACUCCUCCCCCUGUAAUACCUCCUCCUAACCAAGCUGGAUAUGGUAUGGCAAGUUACCAAACACAGUGAGCUGGGACUCUAAACAAAAUUGUAAUUCAUGAUAGCUUCAGUUUCCUGUGACACUCUGAAGACAUGAAAGUAGACAUCGGAAAAUGAAAAUAUUUAUUUUAAAAAUUGAAAUGUUUGGAACCUUUAGCACAGCUUUGCUUUGGUGAAGGACACAUGUCUUCUAGUUCUGCCUUUUUAAGUUUUUGUUCAUGAUGGAUAUGAACAUGAUUUUUCUUUGUGUACAAAAACUAAAAUAAAGUCAAUAAAGACAAA